CCUACCCUCUGAUAGAUUAGGGGGAAAGGCAGCGCACGAAGCGCGUUCAAAAUCUCGCUCCUGCACAACUUUCUGUCUCGUGCGCGCGGUGGGCAAAGGCAGCGCACCCCCCGCCAGAUGACGGGGCGGGGGAAGGCGCAUAUUUCCAAAGGCGGCAGCUGGAGACGGGCCUCGGGGGGACUCCCAAAGCAGCGCCCUGGCGCCGCCCCGCCCCGCCUUACCGUCAGCUCCUUGGGGAGGCAACGCGGCCGCCAAGAGAAAGCCGCUCAGAAGCUGAUUGUAACACAGUGGACACAACAUAGAUCUAGUUCCAUACAAGGAAAAGUCUCUGAUAAAUGGACCAAAGUGCCCAAUGAGGAAAAGGAGAGAAGCAGCCAGCACAGAACUGUCUUCACGCUGCUCUUGUAAGAGUUCAUUCAUCCCAGGGCUUUGUAACACCAUCUCUGAGGAAGAGCAGCAGGAAUACCUACUUUGAGGAGGAGGAAGAUGAAGCAAUCUGCCGCUUGAGCAAUCCAUUUCCAUCACAGUUGGCACAUACCAACAAAACCUUAAGCAUUAAAGACAACUUUUCUUGC